ACAAGCAGAAAAAACCAUUAAACAAAUUUAAUUAAUUAAAUUGUCGAUUUUUCUUAAACUCAACAUGUUUUGAAUAUAAAUGUAUUUUACCUAAUAACCAAUCUUAUUCUUAUUUUUGUUCAUCUGGUUUUGACCGAACAUGCCUCAUGGUAAACGGCAGUGCUUGACAAAAUUUCCUCCUCCAAGAAAAGAAAAAAGAAGAAAUUUACCAAUGCGGGGAAUGCGACAUUGUGAAGAAAAUCAGAAAAUGCAUCCAAGCCAGCGCACGAGAUUCAUCAGCAACAUUCGGCCAUUCGGUGAUUCAUAAUGAAACAGAUGGUUGCCGUGCUACGUUAGUCCGACUCUGGAGGUGAACAUAAACUAGCAAAGAGGGCCGUGCCUGCUUGGGCUGUUUGAGAGCUCAAAUAGACUUGUCAUAAUGGGUUAUGUGGCGACAGCAUUAUACAUUACAGGCACAUCAAGAAAUUUCUCUUCAGCUGGACAUCACUAAACAGGGAUGGUUCGCAGAUAAGUGCAAUUACCUUCAUAAACUCUGCAAGCACCCGCUGUGUCGGCGUCUUCAAAUUGUGACAUGAACAUUUUCAAUAUUUUCAGAAUUAAAUGGGCGUUAUUUGUUUAUUGAAGGGCGUAUCUACGCCUGCAUAUAGUAAUUAUUUCAAAUCCUAGCAAAUAUGAAUUUCGGACCUACGAUACGCCCAAAACCAUCAGCACAAUUAUUAUAAAUAACUAUAUAACUUUAGUAAAAAAGCAGUUUAAGACUCAACUCGUUCAAUUCAUGCAGUGCAAGUAUUUCAAAUCAUUCUAUUCAAGUAAUCAGCCUUCGUAUAUGUAUGAACCUUAUCUUUGUACCAUAGAACGAACUUGUAACGUGACAUUUUAGUGAUAUUUUGCAAAAUGUAUUUUUUCUGUACUUGUUUUUAUUUAAAUAUAGCUCAAGAUGUUGAUGUGUCUUGUUUGAAACCAACAAAAUUUAAACACUAUUUACAAGUAUACCUGCGACCUUUCAAACAUAUCUCUACCAUUCAAAAUCUACAAUAAUAAGUUGUACCCCAAUUUCUGGUAAACCCUCGGACUCAUGCUGAACAAAUAGCCCUAAAAUCGAAAUUUUGAGUAGGAUACACCAAAAUUUCAGGAAUUUUACAUCUGAGAGCUAUGCAUUAAUUUAAAAAUAAAUAUAGUAGUUUUUGGAUUUUUUCGAAAACGGCGAAAACUUAAAAUUCUUGAUUGAAAAUUGUAAGACAUUAUAUUUUACAUACAAAAGCUUCGAUAAUAAUGCAAAUUUUUAGUGGUUUAGCCUUUAUAAGGUUGAAAUAUUUGGGAUUAAAAUAUCACCAGCCGCAGAUGUAAUCAGUAUUCUCCGUCACUUUAUGAAGUAAUCCUUAUGUCAGAUCCGUUUUUGAAUGGGGAGUUCGACGAAACUAUAUCCAAUGUGGACCAAAAAUAAUGAAUGAAAAAUCGUGAACUAAACGCAAUGCAAUUUAUUUCCACAUCUUGAAUAUUCUGUUUUUUGGUUCUCGUAUAUUCUAAUAAUAAAUAUUACCUUUCGUUGGCAGACCUAUUUAAACGGUUCCAACUGAGCUGUGUGUGAGCUGAACUUAGUGUUGUGGGUACUUCUUUUCUAAAUAUUUCAACCUUUAUAAUUGCUGAAGUAUUGAGAAUUCAUGUUAUCACCUAAGGAGAUUGCUGUUGUAAAAUAUUAUGCUUUACAAUUUUGGAUUGGAAUUCUUUUAAAAGAUUUCAAAAUAAUCCUAAAAUACUGCAUUUUUAUUUUUUUGGUUGAAGAAGUUUAUAUGAAGUUGUAGGUAAGGUCUUCAAGGUCAAGUUUUGGUUCACGCUACUCAAAAUUACGAUUACAAAGUUACUUGUAAACUGCUUGUAACAUUUUUACUAUGGAAAAAAGUGAAUGACUUCAGAGACUGUUUUUUCUCCUUGCAUUUUGUCGAAAUCAAAGACACAGAAAAAAACUAAGGUUAUAACAAAAAAAAUUAUCAUAAAGCGUGAGCGUACCAAGCAAUUUAAAUAAAAUGAGUAAGCAGUGACAACUCUAGAAUAUUUUAGAAAUAGAUGUUUACUUCCUGGAAAUGAUUUUUAAUGAUCAAACUUAGUUUCUUACUUAGUCUACAGACACAUUUGCUCGUUUAAUUAUUUUUCGAAAAUAGAUCUAGAAUAGGUAUUUUAACUGCUACUACCUAUAGUAAAAGUCUAAUACAGUGAUUUAAUAUUGUUGACGUUUUGUAUAUCUACUCCGGAAACAGCAAUAAAAAAGGACAAUUGAACAUACGACGUUUUGCGAACAUUGAAUUUCCGCCCCAUUUACGUAUACGGCUGUGGAGCCGACAGGAGGACAAGGAAAACAAUGGAAUAAGCAUCACCAGUGCCGGCACAUUAUUGUCGUGUUAAUGCACUUAAUGUAUCGAAUGCAAAUUAAUCGAAAUUAAUCCUAAGUAAUAGCGACGAACGAGCGAACGGUACGUACCCAAGUAUCUCCCGUGGUGCCGUGCACGUUGGCCGAACGGAGAACAACGAAUCAACGGCAACACAACCAACGAACGGACGGAAUGGAGCAUAAUUAAGCCGGAGCUCCCAAGAUUUACGUUGGAAAAGAAUAAGGGCGCCGCGUCCGAUAUAAAUUCCGACCGGAUCGCUGCGGGAAUAAAACUGAUGCCGCUUCGCAAUCGAUUUCCGCAUCGGUUUACGACCCGACGUUCAAUAAUACUCCGUUUUUUUCAUCAAAUACCAUUACAAAAGGUUGUGCAAGAAGAACAUGAAAGAUAUGAAUAUAUUAAGGCGAGUACAUUGACAUAAUAGUAUCCCAGACAAAUGAUAAAAUCUAAAGAUAUUAAUAAAUCUGGAUCUUACAGUAUAUGUUCAAUAGUAAAACAGACGUCAAUUUUACUUGCUGACCGAAGAUCCCAUACGUUAUUUUAAAUACAAUGUUAAAGUACUUUAACUACAAAGAUUGUUGUACUGUUCUUGAAACUUUUCUCAUUGUUCUAUACAUUGCAUUAAAACGGAAAGUACAAAGAAAAAUGUAAAUUUGUCCUUCGAGAUGGAUAGUUGGUUUUGUCCUUCAAAUCGACUUUCCCAAAAUCAUCAAAGGAUAAAAAUAUAUUCUUAGAAUUAACCCGGAAAUAACAUCUUCAGGUUUUGCCGUAUGUUUGAUAAACACUCUGCGACUUCUAUAUAUGUAAAAUCAAUUGUGAUCCCCAUUUUUCAUGCAACAAAUAAUGUGACUAUUAUCGAAAAAAGUUCCUAGCUACGGGCCUCGGCUAGUUGGAAACAUAUUCGAAGCAGAAACAGGAGUAAAUACGGGUACAGGAAGACCUGGAUUAGAUUGUUUUUCUAAAAUAGUUAAUGGAUGAGGUUAGGGAACAGUGGACACAGGGGAUGCGCGACUAACCAAUUUUGGGACUAACGACCCUACAGUAACGAUAAAUAAUAAUUUAUAAAGGUAUAUCAGUUGUCUUCGACAUGUAUUUUAAGAACGUGAUAUCUUAGUAUUUAUGCUUUUUGAUAACAGUAAAAAACUACAACAUUACUUAAGUAGGUACUUUUUUAACGGUUAGAUAGAUUCGUUGAUGUGUAACUCAUACUUGCAAUUCAUUUUCAUUUCUUGAAUCAAAUUUUUCAAUAUCUGCAUGCUCAUAUUUGACAAUGGAAACCCCUCAAGAAACUCAUGCAAGUUGUAUUUUCUGCGUAAAUAACUGCCGGUGGCAAUUUCAUUGGAUUAGCGCGGUUACUAGCCGUCGCCGUCACGGUGCUACCGUUGACUCGAUGCGAUACGACGCAAUAUACCGCUUGACACAUUACCACCUCAUUAGAUUACGGAGAAAUAUGAACAUUUAUGUAUGUAGUGUGCUGAGGCUGGACUGUGGUGCAGUAACUUGCGACUCGCUUCGCUGUUACCGCAAAGGACCCGGGAGGAACAAAACGGCCCGAGAAUUGUUAAUGGGAAUGACGCUCACGGCGUCUUAUCGUUACUGUUCGACUUCCAAAAUACAAUUCUCAUUUAACGUCACAGUGGGAAUGCCCGAAAUGUUAAUAUCAACAUACCGAAGAGGAGAGCCCAGCCUUUGGGAGAGUGGCAUCAGAAGCGAAAUUUUUUUUACAUUAGAAUAAGUCAAUCGAAAACAUAUAACAAAUGAAUAAUAAUUUUUCGCAAGCAAGACACCCUAGCCCUUUUACCUAAACGAAUGUAAUUUUGUAUCAGUUUCUGCAGAAAAAAAAAAUUUUUAGAAUCUUAAUAUUGAGUCAAACUUGUCCAAAACUUUCGAAAGUCGUAGACCAUCUACCUACAUCUUCAUCAACAGUACUGAAUAUGGGAGAAGAUAAUCAUAGUUUUGGAUAAGGCUUUUAAAAUGUUCUUAUUCCAUCCUCUCAACUUGUGAUGAGUAUUGUAAAUUGUUUCUUCUAAACAUUAUUAAUUCGAAUCCGAUUAUCUUUACCUUCUUAUUUCAGGAAUGACUGGACCACUUGACUUUCUUUCUCAAAACGUAUCUACCGGAUACUUAAUACCAUGAAAGUCUUCCGGGAUCUCUCACGAUCCAUUCUAAUUACUCUCGAAACAGAAAUAACGUUCGAAAUUGUGAAAAACGCUUUCGCGCACUGGAGGCGCACAAUUUACUCGGGUGUCGUUUGGAUUUAAGAUCUGUUAUCUUACAUAUAUUCGGGACGUUUCGACGCCGUUGCAUCGCCGUCGUCAUUGUAAAAGAGCGUGUGUGCUGUUGUUGUUGCUGUACGUGUAUGUUCGCAAAGUGGCUCUCUCCGCUUCCAAGAACAUUCAUUACAUGUGUUCCGAAGAUGCUAUCGGAUCCGAAGCGAGCGCAGAAAGGUUUGUUAAUGAAAUGCAGAUCUCCUCUCAACUGAAACACCUUUUCCUAUCUUCAGUAGCAUGCAAUACGUGAUCGUUUUUUUACGAAAUCGACGACAAUUCGCCGGACAUUUUUACCCAUUUCUUCUUCUUCUUUCUCUCCAUGCAAACAGGCUUAAGUAAUCAAUAAUUAUUGUAUCGAUACAAUGAGGAAGGCAAAAACGUCAUCAUACAUAAGCAACUUUUUUUUAAAAAUGUAUACAAUUCUACACGAGACGCAAAAAGUAGAACGAAACCUAAAGCAAGAAAUGGCGCUGGUGAAAAGGAAGUCUUCAGCUAAAUUUUGAAACUAGGCACAAACCUACUUCAGUAUUUUCGUAUCCUAUAUACAGCAAUUGAAGUGUCUGAUUUUUUAGGUAUCUAGGAAGUUAGAUAAGUCAGGACGGAAGGAAUAGUAGGGAUUUAAAGCAGAGGAUAGAGCAGCG